rnacentral:rRNA from 1 species
UACGUAGGGUGCAAGCGUUGUCCGGAAUUAUUGGGCGUAAAGAGCUCGUAGGCGGUUCGUCGCGUCGGCUGUGAAAACCCGGAGCUCAACUCCGGGCCUGCAGUCGAUACGGGCGGACUAGAGUUCGGCAGGGGAGACUGGAAUUCCUGGUGUAGCGGUGAAAUGCGCAGAUAUCAGGAGGAACACCGGUGGCGAAGGCGGGUCUCUGGGCCGAUACUGACGCUGAGGCACGAAAGCGUGGGUAGCAAACAGG